rnacentral:rRNA from 1 species
ACGGGAGGCAGCAGUGGGGAAUAUUGCACAAUGGGCGAAAGCCUGAUGCAGCGACGCCGCGUGAGCGAAGAAGUAUUUCGGUAUGUAAAGCUCUAUCAGCAGGGAAGAUAAUGACGGUACCUGACUAAGAAGCACCGGCUAAAUACGUGCCAGCAGCCGCGGUAAUACGUAUGGUGCAAGCGUUAUCCGGAUUUACUGGGUGUAAAGGGAGCGCAGGCGGCGCUUUAAGUCUGAUGUGAAAGCCCGUGGCUCAACCGCGGGACUGCAUUGGAAACUGGAGUGCUAGAGUGUCGGAGGGGCAAGUGGAAUUCCUAGUGUAGCGGUGAAAUGCGUAGAUAUUAGGAGGAACACCAGUGGCGAAGGCGGCUUGCUGGACGAUAACUGACGCUGAGGCUCGAAAGCGUGGGGAGCAAACAGGAUUAGAUACCCUGGUA